rnacentral:rRNA from 1 species
GAGUUUGAUCAUGGCUCAGGAUGAACGCUAGCGGCAGGCUUAACACAUGCAAGUCGAGGGGUAUUCUAGCAAUAGGAGAGACCGGCGCACGGGUGCGUAACGCGUAUGCAAUCUACCUUUCACAGAGGGAUAGCCCAGAGAAAUUUGGAUUAAUACCUCAUAGUAUAAUGACUCGGCAUCGAGAUAUUAUUAAAGUCACAACGGUGAAAGAUGAGCAUGCGUCCCAUUAGCUAGUUGGUAAGGUAACGGCUUACCAAGGCGACGAUGGGUAGGGGUCCUGAGAGGGAGAUCCCCCACACUGGUACUGAGACACGGACCAGACUCCUGCGGGAGGCAGCAGUGAGGAAUAUUGGACAAUGGGCGCAAGCCUGAUCCAGCCAUGCCGCGUGCAGGAUGACGGUCCUAUGGAUUGUAAACUGCUUUUGCACAGGAAGAAACACCCCCUCGUGAGGGGGCUUGACGGUACUGUGAGAAUAAGGAUCGGCUAACUCCGUGCCAGCAGCCGCGGUAAUACGGAGGAUCCAAGCGUUAUCCGGAAUCAUUGGGUUUAAAGGGUCCGUAGGCGGUUUAGUAAGUCAGUGGUGAAAGCCCAUCGCUCAACGGUGGAACGGCCAUUGAUACUGCUAGACUUGAAUUAUUAGGAAGUAACUAGAAUAUGUAGUGUAGCGGUGAAAUGCUUAGAGAUACAUGGAAUACCAUUGCGAAGGCAG